GAUGAACGCUGACAGAAUGCUUAACACAUGCAAGUCAACUUGAAUUUGGGUUUUUAANUUAGAUUUGGGUGGCGGACGGGUGAGUAACGCGUAAAGAACUUGCCUCACAGCUAGGGACAACAUUUAGAAAUGAAUGCUAAUACCUGAUAUUAUGAUUUUAAGGCAUCUUAGAAUUAUGAAAGCUAUAAGCACUGUGAGAGAGCUUUGCGUCCCAUUAGCUAGUUGGAGAGGUAACAGCUCACUAAGGCGAUGAUGGGUAGCCGGCCUGAGAGGGUGAACGNCCACAAGGGGACUGAGACACGGCCCUUACUCCUACGGGAGGCAGCAGUGGGGAAUAUUGGACAAUGGACCGAGAGUCUGAUCCAGCAAUUCUGUGUGCACGAUGAAGUUUUUCGGAAUGUAAAGUGCUUGCAGUNGGGAAGAAAUNAANGA
rnacentral:rRNA from 1 species